UGAAUACUUUUGGGUGUGCCUUAUAGUGCGGAAAAUACGGUCAUCUUAGCAGCUCUGCGUAGUAACAAAAGACAAUUUUUUCCGUUAUAUGGAGACGUCGUUCACAACAAUUACGAUUCAAAUACACUUGGACACGAAUUCGCUUCAACAAUCUCAUGUGGGUGUGGAUUUUUUUUUUUUUUUAAGAUCCCGCUUUAUCAUGACAUAAAUCGUAAUAUAUUGCCACCACUGUUUAAUAUUAAUCUUAAUAAGAUUUGCUUUCCUCAUCCUCAAUAAAAAGGCAACUGCACGAGGGUCCGCAGUUGUUUCCAACACUGUUUGUGUAACCUUCAGGGUGAUAUUCAGGAAGGUCCCGUCCUUGAACCAACAAAACUGUGAAAUUUACUGACUUCACGGCGUCUUUGUGCUCCAACGGAUGGGACAAUGUUCUCAGAGCCUGGGGCCAUUCCAAUAACACUUUUUGUGUGUGUGUGUGUGCGUGUGUGUGUGUGUCUUCUCUUUAAAGAGGCAGCACAUGGCCUUGGGAUACUCGCAUGGAUCGCUUCGGAUUCACUGUUGAUGACGUUUUGGCUGGAUAAGGUCAAUACCAGGUCUGCUUAUGUGAAACGCAGCGAAAAGGAUUUCCAUCCAGGCUGGAUGAAUUUUAGAAUAUGUUUCAAUCCCCUCAGUGGAAAACAACCUGGGUCUCGUCCACUUGGCAGGCGAGCUCGCUCCAUCCUGUCCUGGUUGGCCGACGGGAAGGUCCUGUCGGGGAAAAUCUCCCUCAGUUUGCUCAGGAAAAACACCUCCAGGUUCCGACCGGCCCGGGCCACCUCCGAGUCGGGCUGCGGGCAAGCCGGAGCAGAACAGCGAGAUCAAGCACCAUGAUCAUCUCCCGGUCCGGAUCCAAGUAGAAAGUAUCCGGGUCAGCCUUCCCGGAAUGAACAAGGAUGUAUGCUGCGUUCGGAUUUGGAGAGUCGUCAGGUUGAAGUGGUUCCACACAGGAUGUUGUUGUGCUGUCAUCCUGCCAGAGGGCAUUCCGUGCUCACAAACAACAGCCGCCGUGAGUGUACAUUUACUGCUUCAAAAUCCCGAUGGACUGUUGUGACGCCAGCGGGUGCAGGUUCGGACACUCUAGUCUCACAACAGAGAGAGAGAGAGAGAGAUAUUUCCAUCCAUCCA